UACGUAGGGGGCAAGCGUUGUCCGGAAUCAUUGGGCGUAAAGAGCGUGUAGGCGGCCCGAUAAGUCCGCUGUGAAAGUCCAGGGCUCAACCCUCGGAUGCCGGUGGAUACUGUCGGGCUUGAGUACGGAAGAGGCGAGUGGAAUUCCUGGUGUAGCGGUGAAAUGCGCAGAUAUCAGGAGGAACACCAAUUGCGAAGGCAGCUCGCUGGGACGUUACUGACGCUGAGAAGCGAAAGCAUGGGGAGCGAACAGG
rnacentral:rRNA from 1 species